CAAUGGCUGCCCAACUCCCAAGUCAUGCAUUAUCAAGCAUUACUUCUAGAUCUGACUACCAUCAGUUUCAAGGGGACAGUGGCUUCAAACCCUGCCACUCUGCUGCCUGAUGAUGCCCCUCCUUGCCCUUCCACAUCUGUAUUGGGGACCAGACUUGACAGAUGAGCCACUAUUCAGAGUUCCUUUGUAUUUCUCCGAUGGAAGCAAUUACAUUUAUCCAGACAUGGACAACAAAAUGUCAAAGCCCAUUCUCCUUUGGAACACAUUCUUAGGCACUAGAUGUUCGAGCCUUCCAUGUUGAAAAAGAUCCAAUUGGUAUUUCUCUGCAUGAGUGUGUGGCCUACCUACCCCCAAGAGCCUUAGUGGAAUACAGAGCGACACAGUGCAGUUGGAGUUUGCAAAAGCUGUGUUCCCACUGGAUCACAAACAGUCCCUAUGCAAGACUCUUACUGGGCCCACAACCAGGUGAGUGAUUGGAUUAGAAAUCAUUUCCAGACAUGUGUUCUUGAAGGCUGAAGAAGAGUGAGAACUAAACCAUUCAAUUAUUUUAAGUUAUCAGUUAUUCAAUAAGAAAAGAAGGAACAAUUUUCUGCCUCCUUAGAUGGAUUAUGAGAGGCAUUGAUAAAGCAUACUUCUUUAGAUUCUGAUUCAAUAGAGGGACAAAUUAUCCUUAAAGAUAAGUUUAUUACACAGUCAGCCUCAGCUAUUAGAAAAAAGCUACAAAAGAUGGCUUUUCCUCCAGAUAGUCCACUUGAUACUUUAUUUAUUCAUUCAUUUUGUGUGUGUUGGAGUUUGUGGAUCAAACACAACACACAUUUGACAGGCAAGUGAUUUUGCUACUGAGCUAAACCCCCAGCUCACUUGAUACUUUAGUAAAAGUUGCCUCCUCAGUAUUUUAUAACUGUGAUGAGAGGGAGGUCAAAGAGAGAAAACAAAGAGACUGAGAAAAAGCAGCUGCUUUUGCACAGCAUUAAGAGAAACAGACCCUAAGUCUGAUUCUCAGGUCUCUAAGAAGAGCUCAACGAUGACUUUCACCUGCCAUCACUGCCACAAGCCAGGUGACCUUAAGAGGGACUGCACUCAAAAGCCCCCUGGGCCAUGCCCUGACUGCAAAGGUGACCACUGGAUGUCAGACUGCCCUCUCAGCCCAAGGCCCCACCAGGGUUCAGAUUCAUCCUACCUUUACCUCUUAUCAAAAUAACAAAUACACCUCAAAACCUAGGCCUCAGUCCGCUUGAAAUGCCUUAUGGAUGCCCUUUCCUCACUGAUGAUUUUCUCUUUGUCAGAGAAACAGAUGCCUUAUAAAAAGACAUCACCUCAUUGGCUAAAUUCCAGCAAACUCUUCAAGAGCUUACAGAAGCUCAGCCUACAGAGAAAGGAAAACCUAUCUUCCACCCUGGAGAUUUAGUGCUGGUAAAAUCCCCUCCCUCAUCAGCCAUUGGGAAGGACCUUACACAGUGAUCCUGUCGACUUCUUCCAUGCUGAAGACAAGAGGCCUGGACACUCGGAUGCAUCACACCUGACACAAACCCUGGAAACUUGAGACUAUCACUGGAUGUGAACAACCACCCACAUACUCCUGUGAACCCACAGAAGACCUAAGAUUCCUCUUCAAGGAGAAAACAAAGACUUCAGACUUAGAGCUGUAUGCCUACCCAUGAUGAAAAUGCCUGGUAUCUAUUGAGGGCCUCUAGACAGGAUCUCUGCAGAAGUAUCUCUGACUGCUGGUCACCACUACAACCCUCUUCAGCCUGAAGAAGCCAGAUCGGUCAUCACCCAUGACGCCCUCAUGGUAGUUCUGGUUACUUCUUCAGAGAAGGGACUGUUAUAAGCAGCUGAGUUAGUUAGAAAUACUACAGGAAGUGAGACAGGGCUAGGUCCUCAAAGGAGCCAGUGCAGAAGCUCAGAUACCUUGCAACUAAGGGGAAGACAAGCACCUGCUGCUGUGGGCCAAGCCUCAAGAUAAAAGACCAUACAAAUACAUCCAUAUCCUAAGGAGUGAAGUUCUAAAGAGUUCCCCAGCACGCUGAGGAAGUAAGGAGUGACAUUCCAAACCUUUAGGGAAGAUUCACUGCUCUCUAAGAAUUCCUGCAUUCUAAGUGAUUCCCUUCCUGUUUUGUCCUCAGUUUAAUCAAUUUUACCUGAACUAUUAAUCUUAUUGGUUAGCCUUAGUUUUGUACCACCUUAUGCCCAUCUGCCUUGUGAGUACCCAGUUUCCCCAUGUUAAACCCUUUGUAUGCCAUGAUUUCCUAGAACUGUCUGGAAAAUAUAGAGUCCCUGGCAACCCGCUUUUGUCUCUCUCUCAGACAGAAGCUUGUUUUCUCUCAAUAAAUGUAUUCUACUCUUAA